rnacentral:rRNA from 1 species
UGGAGGAAAGCAGGGGAUCGUAAGACCUUGCGCUUUUGGAGCGGCCGAUGUCUGAUUAGCUAGUUGGUGGGGUAAUGGCCUACCAAAGCUUCGAUCAGUAGCUGGUCUGAGAGGACGGCCAGCCACACUGGGACUGAGACACGGCCCAGACUCCUACGGGAGGCAGCAGUGGGGAAUUUUGGACAAUGGGCGCAAGCCUGAUCCAGCCAUGCCGCGUGAGUGAAGAAGGCCUUCGGGUUGUAAAGCUCUUUCAGCCGGGAAGAAAAGGCUGCGAUUAAUAAUCGCAGUUCAUGACGGUACCGGAAGAAGAAGCACCGGCUAACUACGUGCCAGCAGCCGCGGUAAUACGUAGGGUGCGAGCGUUAAUCGGAAUUACUGGGCGUAAAGGGUGCGCAGGCGGUUCUGUAAGUCAGAUGUGA